GACAGAGGAGCCAAGCGUUGUCCGGAUUGACUGGGCGUAAAGCGCACGCAGGCGGCUGGGCGCGUGCGGUGUGAAAGCGGGCCGCUUAACGGCUCGUCGCCACCGCAUACGGCCCGGCUUGAGGGCGGCAGAGGUUCGUGGAAUUGCCGGUGUAGUGGUGAAAUGCGUAGAGAUCGGCAGGAACACCAAGGGCGAAAGCAGCGAACUGGGCCGCAUCUGACGCUCAGGUGCGAAAGCGUGGGGAGCGAACCGG
rnacentral:rRNA from 1 species